GUAUUUUAGCUUCGCUGCAGCUGAAGUUAACGGCUUUUCCUGUUUCUUAGAAUACUUCACAUCAUGCACUAAUUUUCGCUCAUAAGAAAUCACAUCUUAUCUAACUACUUAAAUUACUCAUGCACUCUAUGUAUUAUAUUUCCACACACUCAUACAUAUGCAUAUACAGAUUCAACAAAUCAUUACAAAGAGUCGGGCAAGUCUAGCGAUUCCAGUUUGUCCAGCAUACAUGGCUAUCGGCGUUUUAACGAUGCUGGCGCUGGCGAAAGCUUGCGCUUGGGUUCACUACAGAAACAACGCACACGCAAGGAGGGCAGCUUUGAUUUGUUGCAAGAGAGCAAUAGUUCGCACAAUUUGCCGCACGCCUCCUCGUAUGGCGGCAAUGGUGGCAGUGGUGUUGGUGGUGGUGCGGUAGGCGAUAAAUAUUUCGAUCGUCAUCUUCAACAGACACCAACGCAAACGCAUUCACCGCAGCAACAGCAACUCUUGCCGGGACAUCAUUUGCCGGGCUAUUGCUCGUCCAAGUCGUCGGAUGUGGCUUCGCCCACGCACUCGGCGCACACACCACAACCAAAGAAGAAAAUCUCGCCCGACGGUGGCAGUGCCGUGGGCACAGGUACGAGUGGUCAGUAUCCACCGCUGGCCUAUGCACAUCAAAGGCACUCUCAAC